GACGAACCGUGCUAACGUUAUUCGGAAUCACUGGGCUUAAAGCGCGUGUAGGCGGACUGCCACGUCGGGCGCUGAAAUCCCCCGGCUCAACCGGGGAAUGGGCACCGAUACGAGCAGUCUUGAGGGGAGUAGGGGGACCUGGAACUUCCGGUGGAGCGGUGAAAUGCGUUGAGAUCGGAAGGAACGCCCGUGGCGAAAGCGAGGUCCUGGGCUUCUACUGACGCUGAGACGCGAAAGCCAGGGGAGCAAACGGG
rnacentral:rRNA from 1 species